rnacentral:rRNA from 1 species
GAUGAACGCUGGCGGCGUGCCUAAUACAUGCAAGUCGAGCGAACAGACGAGGAGCUUCCUCCUCGGACGUUUGCGGCGGGGGGGUGAGUAACAUGUGGAUAACCUACCUAUAAGAGUGGGAUAACUUCGAGACACCGGAGCUAAUACCGGAUAAUAUAUUGAACCGCAUGGUUCAAUAGUAAAAGACGGUUUUGCUGUUACUUAUAGAUGUAUCGUCGCCGCAUUAGCUAGUUGGGAAGGUAACGUCUUACCAAGGCAACGAUGAGUAGCCGGCGUGGGAGGGUGACCGCCCACCCUGGACCGAGACACCGCUCAGGACUCCUCGGGGAGGAGCCAGUAGGGAAUCUUCGGAAAUGGCGGAAAGCCUGACGGAGCACCGCGGCGGGAGUAAUGAAGGUCUUGGGAUCGAAAGCCUCUGCUAUUAGGGAAAAACAAAUGUGUAAGUAAAUGUGCACGUCUUGACGGUACCUAAUCAGAAAGCCACGGCUAACUACGUG